GUUGCCAUCAGGUUAAGCUGGGGACGUCUAAAGGAACUGCCUACGCAAGUAGUGAGGAAGCGGGGAGUGACGUCAAAUCAGCACGGCCCUUACGUCCAGGGCUACACACGUGCUACAAUGGCCGAUACAGAGGGCAGCUACCUGGUGACAGGAUGCAAAUCUCCAAAGUCGGUCUCAGUUCGGAUCGGAGUCUGCAACCCGACUCCGUGAAGUUGGAUUCGCUAGUAAUCGCGCAUCAGCCAUGGCGCGGUGAAUACGUUCCCGGGCCUU
rnacentral:rRNA from 1 species